rnacentral:rRNA from 1 species
UACGGAGGAUCCAAGCGUUAUCCGGAUUUAUUGGGUUUAAAGGGUGCGUAGGUGGCUUAUUAAGUCAGGGGUGAAAGACGGUAGCUUAACUAUCGCAGUGCCUUUGAUACUGAUGAGCUUGAAUGAACUAGAGGUAGGCGGAAUGUGACAAGUAGCGGUGAAAUGCAUAGAUAUGUCACAGAAUACCUAUUGCGAAGGCAGCUUACUACGCAGAUAUUGACGCUCAUGCACGAAAGCGUGGGGAUCAAACAGG